rnacentral:tRNA from 1 species
ACAUCGGUAGCACAGUGGUUAGUGCAGUCUGCCGGAAAGAGAAAGACGCGGGUUCAAUUCCCGUCCGAUGUU